rnacentral:rRNA from 1 species
GGGAUAACCAAACGAAAGUUUGGCUAAUACCGCGUAAGCUCCAAGGAGGAAAGUAGGGGACCUAAAUAAGGCCUUACGCUAUUUGAUCGGCCGAUGUCGGAUUAGCUAGUUGGUGGGGUAAUGGCUCACCAAGGCAAUGAUCCGUAGCGGGUCUGAGAGGACGAUCCGCCACACUGGGACUGAGACACGGCCCAG